rnacentral:sRNA from 1 species
UUAUGGCUGUCGUCAGCUCGUGUCGUGAGAUGUUGGGUUAAGUCCCGCAACGAGCGCAACCCCCGUCGCAUGUUGCCAGCAUUUAGUUGGGGACUCAUGCGAGACUGCCGGUGACAAACCGGAGGAAGGUGGGGAUGACGUCAAGUCCUCAUGCCCCUUAUGUCCAGGGCUACACACGUGCUACAUUGGCGCAUACAGAGGGCUGCGAUACCGCGAGGUGGAGCGAAUCCCUUAAAGUGCGUCUCGGUUCGGAUUGCAGGCUGAAAUUCGCCUGCAUGAAGGCGGAGUUGCUAGUAAUCGCGGAUCAGCACUGCCGCGGUGAAUACGUUCCCGGGCCUUGUACACACCGCCCGUCACACCACGGGAGUGAGCAACACCCGAAGCCGGUGGCCCAACCCGCAAGGGAGGGAGCCGUCGAAGGUGGGGCUCGUGACUGGGGUGAAGUCGUAACAAGGUAGCCGUAGCGGAAGCUGCGGCUGGAUCACCUCCUUUCUAGGGAGCAUCUAGCGAUGCCCCGAUCCUGGGUCCGUCGUAAGACGGGCCCUCGCGGCCGCCGAGCCCUCGAGGCUUGGCGGUGUCUAAGCGGAUCGGGCCUAGCAUGUCGACCGAACCUGGCUGGAUGGCCGCAGAUUGCGCGUGCUCCCUUACUACUUGGGGAGCACAAGCUGCCUCGGUCGCAAGUGGUCCAGCAUGCUGUUGAGUUUUGAGAGACCGGCGUCCGCCGGUCCGCGCCAGGGCACGUCGCAGACGGCGUGGUCAACCAGAGCGGGGACAGGCCGACGUUUACGCCUCUUCACGGUCCUUGAAAACUGCACAGAAGCCACAUCAGCCGCCAUCGAUAAGCGGCGGCUGAAAACGGGUAUCACCGGGCCCUAUGUGACCUUUGGGUCAUGUUGGGCCAGAUCACCGUCAAGAUAGUAAGGGCACACGGUGGAUGCCUUGGCACCAAGAGUCGAUGAAGGGCGUAAACGGCUGCGAUAAGCCACGGUUAGGCGCCACAUAGCCUUUGACCCGUGGAUUCCCGAAUGGGGAAACCCGG